CCCUAUAAAACCUCUGUAGAAGAAGAAGACGAUCGAAUCUCACUUUCCAAGCUUCCUCUAUCUCUUACAAUGGCUUCGGCUUGCAAUAGACUCAUGAGCAGAUCCUCCGUCUCGUCUCUCAGAUCCGCCAUCAGAUCUUCGCUCCACAAAUCUCCAAUUGGUACCGGAUCUUCGCCGACUGCUUCCUCCGCCGGAUUUCGUCUUCCGUCUAAACCCGCUUCUUCUCCCCGAUUCUCCUUCUCCAGGUGUCCAUCUGAGCUUGGCUGUGUUCAGUCGCUGUUGCCGCUUCACAGCACGGUGGCUGCUGCUCGGCUGACGUCGUGCCUUAGCACAACCUCCAGAAGCAGCCGAGCUCUCUCUCAGGGUACUCUCUGCUGCACCUCUCCCGACCUCUAAUACUCUUUUCUGCUUUCUUUCUUGCACAUAAUUUCACCGUUACCAUGUCGGAUCCUUGCAUCUUUAUCAAAUGGAAUCGAUGGCACGUGAGACGUAUUUGCAGUUGUUUUUAAAGAGAUGGGCCUUUCAGUACCAAGGUGACCCUGAUACAUUCAUGAAGAGUAUUACUACUAUUAAGGGAGGCAAGUUUCUUAAGCUUAGAGGCAAGAAGUUGAUUAUUUGUUUGCGACUCCAAACUCUUGUUUUUUAAUUCAUAAAGAAAAAUGUGUAAUACUAUUUUCUCCAUUUUACACGACUCCUCUGAGCCUCUCAGAUUCUAGCCAUGUUUGAUUCCAUAACUAGUUAGACAUUGUGUUUACAUAA